rnacentral:rRNA from 1 species
CGCGUGCACUGAUCCGGCCGGGCCUUUCCCUCUGUGGAACCCCAUGGCCUUCACUGGCUGUGCGGGGGAAACAGGACUUUUACUGUGAAAAAAUUAGAGUGCUCCAGGCAGGCCUAUGCUCGAAUACAUUAGCAUGGAAUAAUAGAAUAGGACGCGUGGUUCUAUUUUGUUGGUUUCUAGGACCGCCGUAAUGAUUAAUAGGGACAGUCGGGGGCAUCAGUAUUCAAUUGUCAGAGGUGAAAUUCUUGGAUCUAUUGAAGACUAACUACUGCGAAAGCAUUUGCCAAGGAUGUUUUCAUUGAUAAGGAACGAAAGUUAGGGGAUCGAAGACGAUCAGAUACCGUCGUAGUCUUAACUAUAAACUAUGCCGACUAGGGAUCGGACGAUGUUAUUUCUUGACGCGUUCGGCACCUUUCGAGAAACCAAAGUGCUUGGGCUCCAGGGGGAGUAUGGUCGCAAGGCUGAAACUUAAAGAAAUUGACGGAAGGGCACCACCAGGGGUGGAACCUGCGGCUUAAUUUGACUCAACACGGGGAAACUCACCAGGUCCAGACACAGUGAGGAUUGACAGAUUGAGAGCUCUUUCUUGAUUCUGUGGGUGGUGGUGCAUGGCCGUUCUUAGUUGGUGGAGUGAUUUGUCUGCUUAAUUGCGAUAACGAACGAGACCUUAACCUGCUAAAUAGCCCGUACUGCUCUGGCAGUUCGCCGGCUUCUUAGAGGGACUAUCGG